rnacentral:rRNA from 1 species
CCUACGGGAGGCAGCAGUGGGGAAUAUUGGGCAAUGGAGGCAACUCUGACCCAGCAAUGCCGCGUGAGUGAUGAAGGUAAUUUUAUUGUAAAGCUCUUUUCUUUGGAACGAAUAAAUGACGGUACCAAAGGAAUAAGCCCCGGCUAACUACGUGCCAGCAGCCGCGGUAAUACGUAGGGGGCAAGCGUUGUUCGGAAUGACUGGGCGUAAAGGGUGUGUAGGUGGUUUGAUAAGUUAGAUGUGUAAUACCCAGGGCUUAACUCGGGUGCUGCAUCUAAAACUGUUAGACUUGAGUACUGGAGAGGAUAGUGGAAUUCCUAGUGUAGCGGUGGAAUGCGUAGAUAUUAGGAGGAACAUCAGUGGCGAAGGCGACUAUCUGGACAGCAACUGACACUGAGGCACGAAAGCGUGGGGAGCAAACAGGAUUAGAUACCCCAGUAGUC